CAAGUCGAACGAAUCCCGGUAGCAAUAUCGGGGGAAGUGGCGAAAGGGGCAGUAAGGCGUGGAUAACCUACCCUGGGGACUGGGAUAGCCUCCCUAACGGGAGGGUAAUACCGGGCGAUCUGACGAGAAGACAUCUUUUUGUCAGGAAAUGAAUUUCGCCUCGGGAGGGGUUCACGUGCUAUUAGCUUGUUGGCGGGGUAACGGCCCACCAAGGCAAAGAUGGCUAGCGGGUGUGAGAGCACGACCCGCGCCACUGGCACUGAGACACUGGCCAGACUCCUACGGGAGGCUGCAGUCGAGGAUCUUCGGCAAUGGGCGCAAGCCUGACCGAGCGACGCCGCGUGUGCGAUGAAGGCCUUCGGGUUGUAAAGCACUGUCGAGGGGAAGAAAGCCGCAAGGUUGAUCGACCCCUGGAGGAAGCACGGGCUAAGUUCGUGCCAGCAGCCGCGGUAAGACGAACCGUGCGAACGUUGUUCGGAUUCACUGGGCUUAAAGGGCGCGUAGGCGGGUGGCCAAGUCGGGGGUGAAAUCCUUCAGCUUAACUGAAGAAUCGCCUUCGAUACUGGUUGUCUGGAGGGGGGUAGGGGCAGACGGAACUUCCGGUAGAGCGGUGAAAUGCGUAGAUAUCGGAAGGAACGCCGGCGGCGAAAGCGGUCUGCUGGACCCCCACUGACGCUGAGGCGCGAAAGCCAGGGGAGCAAACGGGAUUAGAUACCCCGGUAGUCCUGGCCCUAAACGAUGAGAACUAGGUUGUGGACUUGACAUGGGUUCACAGCCGAAGCCAAAGUGCUAAGUUCUCCGCCUGGGGAGUAUGGUCGCA
rnacentral:rRNA from 1 species